rnacentral:pre_miRNA from 1 species
GGCAUACUCCCUCCGUCCCAAAAUUCUUGUCUUAGAUUCGUCUAGAUACGGAUGUAUCUAAUACUAAAAUGUGACUUGAUACAUCCGUAUUUAGACAAAUUUAAGACA